AGUGAACGCUGGCGGCGUGCUUAACACAUGCAAGUCGAACGGUAACAGGAACUAGCUUGCUAGUUUGCUGACGAGUGGCGCACGGGUGAGUAAUAUAUAGUUAAUGUACCCCAAAGACUGGGAUAGCCACUGGAAACGGUGAUUAAUACUAGAUACACCUCUUUAACAUAAGUUAGAGAGGGAAAUGUCUUUUCGCUUUGGGAUCAGACUAUAUCCUAUCAGUUAGUUGGUGAGGUAAUGGCUCACCAAGGCAAUGACGGGUAGCGGGUUUGAGAGGAUGAUCCGCCACACUGGUACUGAGACACGGACCAGACUCCUACGGGAGGCAGCAGUGAGGAAUAUUGCACAAUGGAGGAAACUCUGAUGCAGCAACGCCGCGUGGAGGAUGACGCAUUUCGGUGUGUAAACUCCUUUUAUAUGUCAAGAAAAUGACGGUAGCAUAUGAAUAAGCACCGGCUAACUCCGUGCCAGCAGCCG
rnacentral:rRNA from 1 species